rnacentral:rRNA from 1 species
AUGCGGGGGUAUGCAGAUGAGCUCGCCGCGGCGGGCAAGGCUAUCCAGGAUGAUGAGCUUGUCUCCUACAUCAUCCAUGGGUUAGAUGCGGAUUACCAACCUCUGGUGUCUGCCCUCGACGCUCGUAUCACCCUCGUCACGCUCGACGAGCUCUUCGCCAUGCUCUCCAACUUCGACCAACGCAUGGCCCAGUACCAUGGGUCCGGCGGCGGCGGCUUCAAGUCUUCAGCCAACAUGGCGUCUCGUGGACGGGGCGGCGGCUCCCGUUCAGGCGGCACUCCCCGCAACAAGGGGCGAUCUGGCAGCGGCGGCGACAGCGGCCGCGGCUCCUCCCCUCAGCGCGCGGGCGGCAGUGGCCGUCGUCGCGGUCGUGGCGGCAGCAAAAGGACGCGUCCCGACACUCCAAGGUGCCAGAUCUGCGGGAAACCUGUCCACACAACAAAAGAUUGCUGGUACAUGUAUGAGGAUGAUGAUGAUGAUGAUGAUGACUCCCAAGAUGAUGACAAGGUUGCUGCGGCUGCUGAUGGGUCCUAUGUGUUGGGGAUCGUAGCAGAAAUUUAA